UACGAAGGGGGCUAGCGUUGCUCGGAAUUACUGGGCGUAAAGGGCGCGUAGGCGGAUGUUUAAGUCAGCGGUGAAAGCCCAGGGCUCAACCUUGGAACUGCCAUUGAUACUGGACAUCUUGAGUACGGGAGAGGUGAGUGGAACACCGAGUGUAGAGGUGAAAUUCGUAGAUAUUCGGUAGAACACCAGUGGCGAAGGCGACUCACUGGCCCGUUACUGACGCUGAGGCGCGAAAGCGUGGGGAUCAAACAGG
rnacentral:rRNA from 1 species